GGUGCCAAGUGGUUAGAGUCGGGCAAGUCUCCCCACUCCCACACCCCAAAUCUGGGCCCCAUGUUUCAUGAAGUGAGGCCCCAGUUUAAUUCAUUUGCAGGAGAGAGAGAGAGAGAGAGAGAGAGAGAGAGAGAGAGAGAGAGAGAGAGAGAGAGAGAGAAGACCUUGGCUUCACACCCUACAGAGUCCUGUUUCAGUCCUGCAGCCAUGUGAGGAUCACCACUGGAUGUCAACAUGCAAGGGCUGCCCACUUCACUUUGAGGCCUUUGUACUAAUGGUGGCUGCACUCUGAGACUCUAGAGCAGUGCCUGGAAUGCAGUGGGUGACACCGUGCGCUGGUCAGUGGAUAUACAGGGCUUUAUCCAGAACAGGUUUUUCGAGACAGGAUUUCUCUAUGUACCCCUGAAUGUCCUGGAACUCAGUCUGUAGACCAGCUUGGCCUUGAUUUCAGAGUUCUGCCCAACCCUGCCUCCUGAGUGCUGGGAUUAAAGAUGUGUGC